UGCCCUAACUUCGCGCGGGAAACGAGUGAGACCGCCCCUUUUGGCGCGCGCACCACCUGCAUUCGUCAUAUAAUCUGUGGGCGGGACUUCUUUGGCCUGGUUUACUCAGAUUGAACCAGAGUCGCCAAAUGUUCAUGACUGUUUAGCUCAGUUGGUCGAGCAGGCAUCCUGUGGACAGAGGGUGAUGGUUUGAGUCCCGGCCUGGAGAUCUAUCUGCAUCUGGUCUCCUGACCAAUAAAGGAGUUCUGAUUCUGAUUCUGAGUCACUCAUGGUCCAUUGGAAUCACAUGAGGAGUAGGUGGCGCCUGCUUGCCACAGUCCCCCCAGGUUUGACAACUCCCAUCUCCCAUUGUCUGAGCGCACCUGAAUGCACCUUCAGUUCCGCAGUGCACCUGAGUGCCCGUUACUAUGGUUACAACCUCAGUCCCAGAGUUACUGUGUGUUUGUGUCAGUUCUGGUUUAAUGUGUGUUUUAAGUCGCUGCACUGGCUCCAUGUGUGUCACAAGACAGACUUAGAUAUCUUAUUACUGGUCUGUGGAUUUGGACUUCUUGGUCUUCAGAUCCUCCAGGGACUCGUAGGUGUUUCCGGGUUCAGCCUCUGUAGGUAUCUGUGCGUACAUGUCAUCAGACCCUCCGUCGUGUGCCGGCCUCGGGGGAACCUCGGCGUACAUGUC